AAUAUAUUGUAUAAGUCAAAAGACAAAGAAAAAUAUAUUAUUAUAGCGGUAUAGGUCUCUCAGAAAUUAAGAACCAAUUAUUUCUUUUAUUAAGAACUUUUAUGUGGUUAAAAAU
rnacentral:sRNA from 1 species